rnacentral:ncRNA from 2 species
GCGGGCGACCCAGGCGAAGGUGCCGCCCGAAACGGCGGUGAAAAGGGAAGCCGGUGGAAUACCGGCGCUGUGCCCGCAACUGUAAGCGGUGAGCCCCUCCCCUCUAUGCCACCGGCGCAGCCGAUUUCGGCGGCACCGGCAAGGCGGGGAACGGGCGGUGAUCCGCGAGCCAGGAGACCUGCCCUCGCCGGUCGUCCAUG